CCCAGGGUGACAGCUGGGUGGCAGAUUUUGAGAGCAGCCAGUCCAGACUGCAGCAAGGGGAGAGAGAGCUCCAGGAAGGAUAUCUUCCAAAAAAGGGUUUACGCUGGCAGAACAUAUGGAGAGGAGAUUUCCAUUUCUGAAGCAGGGUUUGGGAUGAUUUCAGUAGAGGCACAGUCUCGCUCUGUCACCCAGGCUGGAGUGAAGUGGUCCAAUCUCAGCUCGCUGCAACUUCUGCCUCCCAGGUUCAAGCAAUUCUCUGCCUCAGCCUCCUGAGUAGCUGAGAUUACAGGCUGAUAGGCAGAAGUGACGUGCCUUGUGUCAGAUGAGACUUUGGACUUGGACUUUUGAGUUAAUGCUGGAAUGAGUUAAGACUUUGGGGGACCAUUGGGAAGGCAUGAUUGUGUUUUAAAAUGUGAGAAGGACAUGAGAUUUGGGAAGGGGCAGUGGUAGAACGAUUUGGUUUGGCUUUGUGUCCCCACCCAAAUCUCACGUUGAGUUGUAAUCCCUAGUGUUGGAGGUGGGGCGUGGUGGGAAGUGAUUGGAUCAUGGGGUGAUUUCUAGUGGUUUAGCAUCAUUCCCCUAGUGCUGUCUUAUGAUAGAAUUCUCACAAGAUCUGGUUGCUUAAAAGUGUAUGACACUUUCCCCUUCUCUCUCUCUUUCUCUCUUUCUCUCUCUCCUGCCACCAUGUGAAGACAUGCUUGCUUCCCCUUUGUCCUUCUGCCAUGAUUGUGAGUUUCCUGAGGCCUCCCCAACCAUGCAUCCUGCACAGCUUGUGGAACUAGACUCAACUGUGUGGGUUAAGACUUGGCCAUGGCACACCAAGGAUACCCCGUCUCUGCUCUGCAAUGUCUGAGGAUUCAGCUGGAAGACUUGAGAACUGGAGGAUGGGAUCAACUGAAGGCUCAUUAAUUCACUCAUCUAUCCUGGUUCCAGAAGCAGAUGGGCAGACAAGGAGACAAGCAGAGGAAUGUCAAAAUGCUGCGGCAGAAAGAGAGAAGAGGAGGAAUGUCUCAACACUAAGAGUUUAGCCCGGGGCGGUUCAGCUGCCGGAAGGCCAAACUCCAGGAGAAGCCCAUCUUCCUACUCCGUCCUCCCUUCAGGUUCUCCAUCCAUCCUGCUGAGAGCCACCUCCGCCAUUCAGUAAGACCCCCACAUUUAUCCUUCAAGUGCAUGUGUGACCCAGUUCUUCCAGGAUGCUGGACAAGAGCUUGGGAUACAUAAAGCUGUCACACUGGCCCUCUGCCCUUGCUCGCUAACACUCAAGCCAUUCGCAGACGGCUAAAAGAGCACAUUGUAACACGUGCCCACUUGGACUCCUGCACCUGCCCAUCUGCAUGCUUUCCAUCCUGUAAGGGGUUUGAGUGGUGUCAGCAAUCUAACAGACAAGCCACACCCUUGUUUCACGUCCUGUGAGAGGGGUCAGGGAACUCUUCUGUUUCAUCAUUACCCAACUUUGGAACUCAAGAAAGGACUCACAGGGAAAUUCUUGCAGAAUCUCGUGGAAAAUCUCACAUGUAUUUGUGAAAAUACAAUGUGGAUCUGUGAGAUCCCACUUCAACACAGGCCACGGGGCCACCUUCUGCACCCACAUGGGUUGUUUUAAGUCUUCCUUAGUCUCCUUGAGAAUAACAUGAUGCUAUGAUGUUGGCAGGAAUCUUCCACACCUUCCAAAACAUGACAAUAUGGGUCAAGCCCGUGCAGAGACUGUGGCUCCUGCUUUGGGAGUCACCUGGAAUUGUUGAGAGAUUAGCAAAUCCCAGAACCAGGUUUGUUAGAAUUAACUGCUCAACCAGAUUGUAUUGAAAAUGGUCUGAAGUCAAAGACGACAGACGCAAACGGGCUAAAUUGCUCAGUUAAUUCUUCCAUUUCUCUUCCUCCUAGUUGUUCUAGCUUCAGGGAGGACUCAGGAGAGUACUGUUUGAAAACCACUGAUCUAGUUUACACUUUCAUUUUACAGAGAGGAAACUGAGAGCCACAGAGAUUCAAGUGACUCAUCCAAGAUGACCCAAACCCUGGGGUUUGUUAUUGUUUUUCACACUAUGCAAAGCACUAAAAAACAUUCGUUUGAAACAGGUGAACAAAAGUCUAAUUUGUAGUGAGGUCUAGGGGAAUGACUGUCCAGUCAAUUCCUCAAUUCAUGAAGGAGCAUUUGGGACGCCACAGAGGAACAUACACAGGUAUCCCUCCUCCUACCCGACACCAUUCAGGAAGAGCGGUUACCCCUCCAAUGCACUGAAGCAGAUUCAUUUCCCUCAGGACUGUGGGAGGCGACUGAGGCUGAGUGAAUGAUACAGCCUUUUAAUUUGUUUUUAAUUGUCGUGUCCUGGUAACCCUUCCAAAGACCCUUCACGGAGAGUAGUUUUAUUUUUCCACUUAUUAACCGCAUUCACUAGACUGGAAAAAGAAUUCCCUAUCUCCCAAGAACUCUCCCUUUCAUUCUUGUAAUUCCUUUUUUUUUUUUUUUUUUUUUAGCACCAGGAAAGUAAUGUGUGUAAAACUAGAGCCAAGUAUAUUGUGGUUUCAAAUACAAGCCUGUUUGGAGCAGAAGCCCGUGGGAUUGCUGCGUUUCAGCCUCAGGGGAUGGCCCGCUGAUGGCCUCGGCCUGUGAAAGGGAGGGGCUUGAAUGGCCCUUUGAUUCAGCCCAAAUCUGGGGGUGGAGGGUGGGGAAGGGGCAGGCCUGUUAUUUGACACUUUCUGUUGGGCUUGGCCCAGGCCUCACUCCUUAUGCAGGCCUCCCUGGAGCCUGCAAGCCCUCUCUGAGGACGCACUGACUUAGCAAGCGCUGAAAUGCAUAACAUUCCUUGCUGCUUAGGAAGUAGACCAGCGAUCCCCAGGGCUCGCGAAUUCCCUGCGCUUUGAGAAUGGUGCUCUUUAUAACGUUCCCCAUCCAAACACACACACAGACACGCUACACACACAUACCCCAAACAUACACACACACGCGCACACACACUCCACACACACCCAAACAUACACGUACACACACACUCCACACACACACACCCCAAUAUACAUACACAUGCACACAAUAGACACACACCCAAACAUGCACACACACUCCACACACACACACCCAAAUAAACACACACAUGCGCAAACUACACACACAUUACACACACACCCAUACACACACAUCCAAAAAUACACACACACAAACUACACACAUACUACACACACACACAAACAUACACACACGUGCACACACACGCUCCACACACACAUCCCAACAUACACUCUACACACACGCCACACACACCCCAUACACACAGGCACACAAUCCACACAUACACUCCACAUACACAAACCCAAAACAUACAUACUCUACACACACACCACACACAUCGCAAACAACCACACUCUACACACACACAAACAUAGACACA
rnacentral:lncRNA from 1 species